rnacentral:rRNA from 1 species
CCUACGGGCGGCAGCAGUAGGGAAUCUUUCACAAUGGGCGAAAGCCUGAUGGAGCAACGCCGCGUGCAUGAUGAAGGCCUUCGGGUUGUAAACUGCUUUUAUAAGCGAGAAAUAUGAUGGUAACUUAUGAAUAAGGAUCGGCUAACUACGUGCCAGCAGCCGCGGUCAUACGUAGGAUCCGAGCAUUAUCCGGAGUGACUGGGUGUAAAGAGUUGCGUAGGUGGCAUAAUAAGUAGCUAGUGAAAACUGGUGGCUCAACCAUUCAGACUAUUAGCUAAACUGUUAAGCUCGAGCCCGUUAGGGGUAACUGGAAUUUCUAGUGUAGGAGUGAAAUGCGUAGAUAUUAGAAGGAACACCAGUGGCGAAGGCAGGUUGCUGGGACGGUUCUGACACUAAGGCACGAAAGCGUAGGGAGCAAACGGGAUUAGAUACCCUUGUAGUC